rnacentral:sRNA from 1 species
CUCAUACAAGAUGGCGGCACCCGAGGAACACGAUUCUCCGACCGAAACGUCCCAGCCGAUUGUGGAAAAGGAGGAAACUAAAACAUUUAAAGACCUGGGUGUGACAGAUGUGUUGUGUGAAGCUUGUGACCAGUUGGGAUGGACAAAACCCACCAAGAUCCAGAUUGAAGCUAUUCCUUUGGCCUUACAAGCUGUGAUUGUAGGUGGAAUUGAUUCAAUGUCUCAAUCUUUGGCCCUUGCAAAAAAACCACAUAUAAUAAUAGCAACUCCUGGUCGACUGAUUGACCACUUGGAAAAUACGAAAGGUUUCAACUUGAGAGCUCUCAAAUACUUGGUCAUGGAUGAAGCCGACCGAAUACUGAAUAUGGAUUUUGAGACAGAGGUUGACAAGAUCCUCAAAGUGAUUCCUCGAGAUCGGAAAACAUUCCUCUUCUCUGCCACCAUGACCAAGAAGGUUCAAAAACUUCAGCGAGCAGCUCUGAAGAAUCCUGUGAAAUGUGCCGUUUCCUCUAAAUACCAGACAGUUGAAAAAUUACAGCAAUAUUAUAUUUUUAUUCCCUCUAAAUUCAAGGUAAAAUGUUUACUUUGAUCAUUCCUGCCUCUCCCUCUUCUUUUCACCAAAGCAUCUGAAAAUGUGUCAACUCUUGAUUAGGUAAGAGCUGUAAUGCAGAUUGGCAUCCUGUCUCUUUGCUUUAGAGUGCAUAUCGUGCUUAUAUUAUCACCGAUAAGCCAGACAUGCCAGGAAUUCACAACACAUUAAACCACAAUACUGAGGUCAUGAUGUACUCAUAUAAUUCCUUCCCAUCCCCAUCCUUGAGGUAAUUUUUCCUUUGUCUGCUUAUUAUGUGGCUUUUAUUUAGGAUGAAGCCCCUGGUUUUGUGCUUUGAUAUAAGGACUUCUCCUGUUUGCUGAGUACAGAUCUCCUGCCUGCCUUUAGGCUAAGUGGGGAAUAUGUGGUUCACAGAGAUGAUAAUGCUGGUUAAGGAAUGCAAAGCUGGCAGCUGGAGGUCUGGAUAAUUGAAAAGCGACUAUAGGCUUAGUCUUUACCUUAUGUAUAUGCCAGGGCUCCAAUCCUGUCUCCCAGGUUCAAUGACAUAUAUUGUUUUGGGUUUGUAACUUAGGAUACCUACCUGGUUUAUAUUCUAAAUGAAUUGGCUGGAAACUCCUUUAUGAUAUUCUGCAGCACCUGUAAUAAUACCCAGAGAACAGCUUUGCUACUGCGAAAUCUUGGCUUCACUGCCAUCCCCCUCCAUGGACAAAUGAGUCAGGUAAGGAUUCAUCAUCAUCAUCAGCCACGCACUGGUGGCGUGAGCGAGGUAAACCUCCUAACAGUAGGUUUGUACAAUAAGGCCAUAGGGCACCGAUGCCUGUUUCCAUAAUUGUUGUAAUUUUAUGGGCUUUGAAGUGUUGCUCUAGAUACUUACUUUCUCCUUUCAGGGUAGCGAGAGGCUCCCAUUAGAAUAUUUCAUAUGUACCUGUCUGGUUUGCAAGCUGUUGAGUUGAUUUAUUCAGCCCUAGUGGUAAUAAUGACUCUGGCCUCUAAAAACAUUAAUAAAUUAUUUCCCAGUUACCUUUCUAUCGUGUCAAACUACCCUUAUUUUGUAUUAUAUAUAUAUUUUUAAUUUUUUGUUGCUUCCGUAUUUCUGUUUUGACCUGUGAAGCCCCAUUCAAAACUUAGGGGGAAAAACCUUUAAAAAAUUUAUGUCUGUUUGUUCUCGUGUUUGUCUAUUUUGUGUUUUGUAUUCCAAAACAUAGGUUAAGUUUUCCAACAUUUCUUUUUCAUUACCUCAGAGUAAGCGCCUAGGAUCCCUUAAUAAGUUUAAGGCCAAGGCCCGUUCCAUUCUUCUAGCAACUGACGUUGCCAGCCGAGGUUUGGACAUACCUCAUGUAGAUGUGGUUGUCAACUUUGACAUUCCUACCCAUUCCAAGGAUUACAUCCAUCGAGUAGGUCGAACAGCUAGAGCUGGGCGCUCCGGAAAGGCUAUUACUUUUGUCACACAGUAUGAUGUGGAACUCUUCCAGCGCAUAGAACACUUAAUUGGGAAGAAACUACCAGGUUUUCCAACACAGGAUGAUGAGGUUAUGAUGCUGACAGAACGCGUCGCUGAAGCCCAAAGGUUUGCCCGAAUGGAGUUAAGGGAGCAUGGAGAAAAGAAGAAACGCUCGCGAGAGGAUGCUGGAGAUAAUGAUGACACAGAGGGUGCUAUUGGUGUCAGGAACAAGGUGGCUGGAGGAAAAAUGAAGAAGCGGAAAGGCCGUUAAUCACUUUUGUGAAGGCUCGAGUUCUGCUGUUCUGUAAAAGAGAAUUGGAGAAUCAAACCUGCUCCAACAGAGAUCAUGAGACUGAAAUCGGUCAGAAUUGUGUCCAGAAUGUGCUCAGCUAAUUCAGUAUUCUUCCCCAUUCUGGGUUGGAGUUUACUGCAGAAUAAUUCUUACAGUGCUGAUGUCAAGACUGUUACUGUUCUUCGACUUUGAUUCCUUGCUCAUGACAUGAGUAGGGUGUGCUCUUCUGUCACUUCACACAGACCUUUUGCCUUUUUUAGCUGCAAGUCAAGGACUAGGUUGAUGAUGCCCAUGACCUGUAAUUGUAAAGAAGCUUGGACAUCUGCAAAUGAUAUUUAAGCCAUCUUGGCUUGUGCUUUAUUCAAACUAAUGUGAAACAAUAAAUUUAAAUGUUAUUUUUAAAAGA